UGCACGAAUGGCGUAAUGAUGGCCAGGCUGUCUCCACCCGAGACUCAGUGAAAUUGAACUCGCUGUGAAGAUGCAGUGUACCCGCGGCAAGACGGAAAGACCCCGUGAACCUUUACUAUAGCUUGACACUGAACAUUGAGCCUUGAUGUGUAGGAUAGGUGGGAGGCUUUGAAGUGUGGACGCCAGUCUGCAUGGAGCCGACCUUGAAAUACCACCCUUUAAUGUUUGAUGUUCUAACGUGGACCCGUGAUCCGGGUUGCGGACAGUGUCUGGUGGGUAGUUUGACUGGGGCGGUCUCCUCCUAAAGAGUAACGGAGGAGCACGAAGGUUGGCUAAUCCUGGUCGGACAUCAGGAGGUUAGUGCAAUGGCAUAAGCCAGCUUGACUGCGAGCGUGACGGCGCGAGCAGGUGCGAAAGCAGGUCAUAGUGAUCCGGUGGUUCUGAAUGGAAGGGCCAUCGCUCAACGGAUAAAAGGUACUCCGGGGAUAACAGGCUGAUACCGCCCAAGAGUUCAUAUCGACGGCGGUGUUUGGCACCUCGAUGUCGGCUCAUCACAUCCUGGGGCUGAAGUAGGUCCCAAGGGUAUGGCUGUUCGCCAUUUAAAGUGGUACGCGAGCUGGGUUUAGAACGUCGUGAGACAGUUCGGUCCCUAUCUGCCGUGGGCGCUGGAGAACUGAGGGGGGCUGCUCCUAGUACGAGAGGACCGGAGUGGACGCAUCACUGGUGUUCGGGUUGUCAUGCCAAUGGCACUGCCCGGUAGCUAAAUGCGGAAGAGAUAAGUGCUGAAAGCAUCUAAGCACGAAACUUGCCCCGAG
rnacentral:rRNA from 1 species